rnacentral:tRNA from 1 species
GAUACGGGCCUAAGUGGCAGAGCACUGGACUUGCAAACCAGAGGUCGUCAGUUCAAUCCUCACAGGAGGCA